rnacentral:tRNA from 1 species
GCGCUUGUAGCUUAACCGGACAGAGCGUUGGCCUCCGGAGCCAAAGGUUGUGAGUUCGAAUCUCACCAAGCGCA